rnacentral:rRNA from 1 species
UACGUAGGGGGCAAGCGUUGUCCGGAAUCAUUGGGCGUAAAGCGCGUGUAGGCGGUUCGGUAAGUCUGCUGUGAAAGUCCAGGGCUCAACCCUGGGAUGCCGGUGGAUACUGUCGGACUAGAGUACGGAAGAGGCGAGUGGAAUUCCCGGUGUAGCGGUGAAAUGCGCAGAUAUCGGGAGGAACACCAAUGGCGAAGGCAGCUCGCUGGGACGUCACUGACGCUGAGACGCGAAAGCGUGGGGAGCAAACAGG